AAGACUAUAGACCUGCGGAGUACCUGCGGAGGGAUCAUUAUUGAAUAAACUUGAUGUAGUUGAGCUGACUCUCUCGGGAGUAUGUGCUCGCUCGUCAUCUUUAUCUUUCCACCUGUGCACUUUUUGUAGAUUUGGAUGUAACUGUCCGAGGCAACUCGGUUGGGAGGAAUGCUGUCUCUGACGGCUUUCCUUGUAUGUCCAGGUCUAUGUUUUCAUAUACUCCAAGUAUGUAACAGAAUG
rnacentral:misc_RNA from 1 species